AUUGAACGCUGGCGGCAUGCUUUACACAUGCAAGUCGAACGGUAACAGGUCUUCGGAUGCUGACGAGUGGCGAACGGGUGAGUAAUACAUCGGAGCGUGCCUAGUAGUGGGGGAUAACUACUCGAAAGAGUAGCUAAUACCGCAUGAGAUCUACGGAUGAAAGCAGGGGACCUUCGGGCCUUGUGCUACUAGAGCGGCUGAUGGCAGAUUAGGUAGUUGGUGGGGUAAAGGCUUACCAAGCCUGCGAUCUGUAGCUGGUCUGAGAGGACGACCAGCCACACUGGGACUGAGACACGGCCCAGACUCCUACGGGAGGCAGCAGUGGGGAAUUUUGGACAAUGGGCGAAAGCCUGAUCCAGCAAUGCCGCAUGCAGGAUGAGGGCCCUCGGGUUGUAAACUGCUUUUGUACGGAACGAAAAGCCUGGGGCUAAUAUCCCCGGGUCAUGACGGUACCGUAAGAAUAAGCACCGGCUAACUACGUGCCAGCCGCCGCGGUAA
rnacentral:rRNA from 1 species